ACGGCGAGUGAAGCGGCAACAGCUCAAAUUUGAAAUCUGGCCCUCGGGCCCGAGUUGUAAUUUGCAGAGGAUGCUUCUGGCGCGGUGCCUUCCGAGUUCCCUGGAACGGGACGCCACAGAGGGUGAGAGCCCCGUAUGGUCGGACACCAAGCCUGUGUGAAGCUCCUUCGACGAGUCGAGUAGUUUGGGAAUGCUGCUCAAAAUGGGAGGUAAAUCUCUUCUAAAGCUAAAUACCGGCCAGAGACCGAUAGCGCACAAGUAGAGUGAUCGAAAGAUGAAAAGCACCUUGAAAAGGGGGUUAAACAGUACGUGAAAUUGUUGAAAGGGAAGCGCUUGUGACCAGACUUGUGCCGGGCGGCUCAUCAGGGGUUCUCCCCUGUGUAUUCCGCCCGGUUCAGGCCAGCAUCGGUUCUCACCGGGGGAUAAGAACGGUAGGAACGUGGCUCCCCCUCGGGGGAGUGUUAUAGCCUGCCGUACGAUACCCUGGCGGGGACCGAGGUUCGCGCUCCGCAAGGAUGCUGGCGUAAUGGUCAUCAGCGACCCGUCUUGAAACACGGACCAAGGAGUCGUCCAUUAGAGCGAGCGUUUGGGUGUAAAACCCGCACGCGUAAUGAAAGUGAAAUUAGGUGAGAGCUUCGGCGCAUCAUCGACCGAUCCUGAUGUUCUCGGAUGGAUUUGAGUAAGAGUUUUAACGGACGGACCCGAAAGACAGUGAACUAUGCUUGUAUAGGGUGAAGCCAGAGGAAACUCUGGUGGAGGCUCGCAGCGGUUCUGACGUGCAAAUCGAUCGUCAAAUAUGAGCAUGGGGGCGAAAG
rnacentral:rRNA from 1 species